rnacentral:ncRNA from 1 species
GUCUUGUAUGAAAGGAGAGAAGGUUAGCAUGCUCCCCAUGACAAGGAUUGGAAGCGGCCCUGACAGGCGCCUUGAGCACGACAUACGGUUAAGCAUUGCCACCGAUACUUCGUGGCAUCUAACCAUCGUUUUUU